GACGAACGCUGGCGGCGUGCUUAACACAUGCAAGUCGAACGGAAAGGCCCUGCUCUUGUGGGGUGCUCGAGUGGCGAACGGGUGAGUAACACGUGAGUAACCUGCCCUUGACCUUGGGGUAACUGCAGGAAACUGGGGCUAAUACCGGAUAGGAGCUCCUGGUGAAUGGUGGGGGUUGGAAAGUUGCGGCGGCCGGGGAUGGACUCGCGGCUUAUGAGCUUGUUGGUGGGGUAGUGGCUUACCAAGUCUGUGACGGGUAGCCGGCCUGAGAAGGGGGACGGCGACCUUGGGACUGAGAGACGGCGCAGACUGCUACGGGAGGCAGCAGGGGGGAGUAUUGCACAAUCGGGGCGAGUCCGAUACGGAGGCGCCGGGGGCGGAAUGAGGGCCUGCGAGGGGAGAACCGCUUUCGGCUGUGACCAGGGGUGAGUGACGGUAAUGGGUAAAGAAGCACCGGCUAACUACGUG
rnacentral:rRNA from 1 species